UACAGAGGGUGCAAGCGUUGUUCGGAAUUAUUGGGCGUAAAGCGCGUGUAGGCGGCUUUGCAAGUCAGGUGUGAAAGCCUUGAGCUCAACUCAAGAAAUGCACUUGGUACUGGGUGGCUAGAGGACCGGAGAGGAUAGUGGAAUUCCCAGUGUAGUGGUGAAAUGCGUAGAGAUCGGGAAGAACGCCAAGGGCGAAGGCACUCUGCUAGGCCUGAUUUCGCGACUGACACUCAGGGACGAGAGCCAGGGGAGCGAAUGGG
rnacentral:rRNA from 1 species